rnacentral:rRNA from 1 species
GAUGAACGCUGGCGGCGUGCCUAACACAUGCAAGUCGAGCGAAUGGAUUAAGAGCUUGCUCUUAUGAAGUUAGCGGCGGACGGGUGAGUAACACGUGGGUAACCUGCCCAUAAGACUGGGAUAACUCCGGGAAACCGGGGCUAAUACCGGAUAACAUUUUGAACCGCAUGGUUCGAAAUUGAAAGGCGGCUUCGGCUGUCACUUAUGGAUGGACCCGCGUCGCAUUAGCUAGUUGGUGAGGUAACGGCUCACCAAGGCAACGAUGCGUAGCCGACCUGGGGGGGUGAUCGGCCACACUGGGACUGAGACACGGCCCAGACUCCUACGGGAGGCAGCAGUAGGGAAUCUUCCGCAAUGGACGAAAGACUGACGGAGCAACGCCGCGUGAGUGAUGAAGGCUUUCGGGUCGUAAAACUCUGUUGUUAGGGAAGAACAAGUGCUAGUUGAAUAAGCUGGCACCUUGACGGUACCUAACCAGAAAGCCACGGCUAACUACGUGCCAGCCGCCGCUGUAA